GCUGGGUGUGGUGGUGGGCACCUGUAAUCCCAGCUACUUGGGAGGCUGAGGCAGGAGAAUAGCUGGAACCUGGGAAGCAGAGGUUGCAGUGAGCCGAGAUGGUGCCACUGCACUCCAACCUGGGCCAGAGCGAGACUCCGUCUCAAAAAAAAAAAAAAAAAAAAGGUGGGGGCCAGGCACGGCCUGGAGUGCAGUGGCACAAUCUUGGCUCAGUGCAACCUCUACCUCCCAGCUUCAAGCGAUUCUGCUGCCUCAG
rnacentral:sRNA from 1 species